AAAGAAUUAGGCAAGGGGAAAUAGGGAGCGGAGGAGGGGUCGCGGGGCUCGGCCUGGGGGGCAGCGGAGGUAGCCCGCGGCUGCAGCUCGCGGCCUCCGUGAGCCGUGCAGGAAUUGGUGGAGCUGCCGGACUGUGGGGGACUUUGAGAUUCAGUUUAUUGCCGAGUGUAGAGAGGACAGAAAGUGGACAGGGAGCAGGGGCUUUUGUCUAUUGGCUUUCCUGGACUAAAGAGAAAACCAGUGCAGUCCCAAGACUGUUAAGCUUCAAAAAAUG